GGUGUAGACGGUUACUUAAGUCGGUUGUUAAAUCUCCUGACUCAAUUAGGAGGGGACAAUCGAUACUGAGCGACUUGAGGGCAGCAGAAGAAAGUGGAAUUCCCGGUGUAGCGGUGAUAUGCGUAGAUAUCGGGAGGAACACCAGUGGCGAAGGCGGCUUUCUAGGCUGUUCCUGACGUUGAGGCCCAAAAGCGUGGGAAGCGAAACGGAUUAGAUACCCGUGUAGUCCACGCCCUAAACUUUGGACACUAGGUAUGGUGAGUAUCGACCCUCUUCGUGCCGAAGCUAACGCUUUAAGUGUCCCGCCUGGGGACUACGGCCGCAAGGCUAAA
rnacentral:rRNA from 1 species